UAGGGAAUCUUCCGCAAUGGCCGCAAGUCUGACGGAGCAACGCCGCGUGAGUGAAGAAGGAUUUCGGUUCGUAAAACUCUGUUGUUAGAGAAGAACAGCGCAUAGAGUAACUGUUAUGCGUGUGACGGUAUCUAACCAGAAAGCCACGGCUAACUACGUGCCAGCAGCCGCGGUAAUACGUAGGUGGCAAGCGUUGUCCGGAUUUAUUGGGCGUAAAGCGCGCGCAGGCGGUCAAUUAAGUCUGAUGUGAAAGCCCCCGGCUCAACCGGGGAGGUUCAUUGGUACCUGGUUGUCUUGAGUUCCGAAUCGGUGAUUGGACUUCCAUGUGUAGCUGUGAACUGCCUAGCUAUCUGGAGGAACACCGCUGGCGAACGCGUCUCUCUGGUCUGUAACUGACGCUUAGGCUCGCAAGCGUGGGGAGCGAACAGG
rnacentral:rRNA from 1 species